rnacentral:tRNA from 1 species
GCGGGUGUCGUAUAAUGGUAUUACCUCAGCUUCCCAAGCUGAUGACGUGGGUUCGAUUCCCAUCACCCGCUCCA